CCCUAUCUCCAUACCGAUGGCCGCGUAUUUGCCGCCUCCUCCUUCCCCCGUCCAUGGUGACGGUGCCUGCGUCACACAUAGACCCUGCCCCAUCCUGUAUGUUGGUCAUUGAUGGGGUGAGAGGCGCGACCACGAUCCAGUUGGGAUCUCGGUGUGGACUCAUUCGUUGUGAUGGAGGACGGCGUUGCCUCCCUGGUGAAUGGGAUCAAAGGGAGGGACGCGAAAGUCGAUGAGGCAGCGGCUGGGAGCCCGACGAUGAACACUGGAGUUCGUCCGGGGGGCGAUCUGAGGCCACCUCAACCGCCGGUGGAGGAGGCUUCCCAUCCAUGUGUUCCUUCCCUCUCCCAAUUCCUUGCUUCCCAUUGGAAUCCUAGAUGGGAGCUGCUGGCCUACAAUAGCGAGCAGCCGCUGGCCUACCUGAAAGGUCAGUAAUUUUCGUCUCUGCAUUUCUUGUAUUUUAAUUGAUCGUUUUAGAUUGUACAAGAUGCUCACGAUCUGUUUUCUGAAAUUGCUAGGAUAGUUUUAAGCAAUAGGCAAACACCGUAUUACAUUUCAUGUUUUUCCUCAAUCCUUGUCCUUCUAGGCAUCCAUCACAUGUUCGGUAAUGACAUGAUGUUGAUGCAUAGUGCAGACUGGCAUUUUUAAUCACGUUAAAAAUUCGGGUGAGGAGGAUUUGAUCUUGCACAAUAGAAUGUCACCAGGUUCUUGUAGAAUGUCUCCACAUCAGUUUCCAGCAUGGUCUCUGCUAUUUGUCCAUACGGGCAAUAAACAUGCCAUGUCAUGCAUACUAACAGCACCAAUACAGAUACUUAUGCUUGCUGAAUUUUGUAGGUGAGAGGAGACAUCAGAUCAUGUUGCAAUGUCGUUGGCAUGGUUGACUGUACAAUCUUAAAACAUGUUUACGGAAAAUGAAUGCAGGAAAGAUCAUCCGGAAAAUGGACUGCUUCAACUACAUUUUUUCUGAUGUACUCCUUGUGUAAAGAAAUAUAAGACCUUUUAGAUCACUGAUCUAAAAGGUCUUAUAUUUUUUUACACAAGGAGUACUAUCUAAUGUAAUUUCUUUUCUGAUAGUGGCAUCGAAUACUUCACAGUUUUGAUGGCCUCUUGAUUCAUGCCAUUAAUAUUGUUUUCCACUAACCAAUGAUGGUUUUCAGUAUAAACUUUUCAAAAAUCCAAAAUCCCUUCCACGUACUAGUCAAUUUUUGAAAAUUGACCCAAAAAAAUUCCAGUGCGUUUCUCUGGUUUAACUCUUUCUUAUACUCUUUAGAAGCUAUGAUGAAAAAGAAGUAACCAUUCUAAAUCCUCUUAUGGUCUUCUAUGUAAAAGCAUCACAAGGUUACCCAGUACUAUUAUUUAGUUCUUGGUUUUCCAGGAUGUAAAUUCCUUCACUGCAUGUAUAUACACUUUGUGAGUUUUUAAUAGUUUUAAGGGGAAUUUCAGGCAAAAGAAUUCAUUAUUAUUAUUUUAGUGAUUUUCAUUUCCUAA